rnacentral:rRNA from 1 species
UACGGAGGGAGCUAGCGUUGUUCGGAAUUACUGGGCGUAAAGCGCACGUAGGCGGCUCAGCAAGUCAGGGGGUGAAAUCCCCGGGGCUCAACCCCGGAACUGCCCCUUGAAAACUGCUAAGCUAGAAUCUUGGAGAGGCGAGUGGAAUUCCGAGUGUAGAGGUGAAAUUCGUAGAUAUUCGGAAGAACACCAGUGGCGAAGGCGACUCGC